rnacentral:rRNA from 1 species
GAUGAACGCUGGCGGCGUGCCUAAUACAUGCAAGUCGAGCGAACGGACGAGAAGCUUGCUUCUCUGAUGUUAGCGGCGGACGGGUGAGUAACACGUGGAUAACCUACCUAUAAGACUGGGAUAACUUCGGGAAACCGGAGCUAAUACCGGAUAAUAUUUUGAACCGCAUGGUUCAAAAGUGAAAGACGGUCUUGCUGUCACUUAUAGAUGGAUCCGCACUGCAUUAGCUAGUUGGUAAGGUAACGGCUUACCAAGGCAACGAUGCAUAGCCGACCUGAGAGGGUGAUCAGCCACACUGGAACUGAGACACGGUCCAGACUCCUACGGGAGGCAGCAGUAGGGAAUCUUCCGCAAUGGGCGAAAGCCUGACGGAGCAACGCCGCGUGAGUGAUGAAGGUCUUCGGAUCGUAAAACUCUGUUAUUAGGGAAGAACAUAUGUGUAAGUAACUGUGCACAUCUUGACGGUACCUAAUCAGAAAGCCACGGCUAACUACGUG